GCGGUCAUCGUCUAGUUUGGUCUAGGACGCUGGCCUUCCAAGCCCGCGACCCGGGUUCGAAUCCCGGUGACCGCACCA
rnacentral:tRNA from 2 species